GUUUGUUUCUCUCAGAGAUGGAUGGUUCCCUUCGGGGACGCAGUGACAGGUGCUGCAUGGCUGUCGUCAGCUCGUGUCGUGAGAUGUUCGGUUAAGUCCGGCAACGAGCGCAACCCACAUCUUUAGUUGCCAGCAGUUCGGCUGGGCACUCUAGAGAAACUGCCCGUGAUAAGCGGGAGGAAGGUGUGGAUGACGUCAAGUCCUCAUGGCCCUUACGGGUUGGGCUACACACGUGCUACAAUGGUAAUGACAAUGGGUUAAUCCCCAAAAGUUAUCUCAGUUCGGAUUGGGGUCUGCAACUCGACCCCAUGAAGUCGGAAUCGCUAGUAAUCGCGUAACAGCAUGACGCGGUGAAUACGUUCCCGGGUCUUGUACACACCGA
rnacentral:rRNA from 1 species